UUCCGUUGAUCCCGCCGGAGGCUACUGCUAUUGGAAUUCGACUAAGCCAUGCGAGUCAAGGUGUUUUCGGACGCCGGCAAACGGCUCAGUAACACGUAGGUAAUCUACCCUCAGGACUGAGAUAACCCCGGGAAACUGGGGCUAAUACCAGAUAGAUAAAAGAUACUGGAAUGUUCUUUUAUCCAAAGCUUUUGUGCCUGAGGAUGAGCCUGCGCCCGAUUAGGUAGUUGGUGGGGUAAUGGCCCACCAAGCCUGCGAUCGGUACGGGCAGUGGGAGCUGUAGCCCGGAGUUGGGGACUGAGACAAGGCCCCAGGCCCUACGGGGCGCAGCAGGCGCGAAACCUCUGCAAUGCGGGAAACCGUGACAGGGGGAUUCCAAGUGCUCAUGCAUUGCAUGGGCUGUUCUUUGGUCUAAGUAACCAGAGGAGUAAGGGCUGGGCAAGACCGGUGCCAGCCGCCGCGGUAAUACCGGCAGCUCGAGUGGUAGCCGCGAUUGUUGGGCCUAAAACGUUCGUAGCCGGAUAAGUAAGUCUUUGGUUAAAUCCUACGACUUAACCGUGGGAAAUCUAGAGAUACUGCUUGUCUCGAGACCGGGAGAGGUUGGAGGUACUCCCAGGGUAGGGGUGAAAUCCUGUAAUCCUGGGGGGACCACCUGUGGCGAAGGCGUCCAACUGGAACGGCUCUGACGGUGAGGGACGAAACCUAGGGGAGCGAGCCGGAUUAGAUACCCGGGUAGUCCUAGGCGUAAAUGAUGCGAGUUAAGUGUGGGGGCAUCUACGAGAUGGCCCUGUGCUGUAGGGUAGCCGUUAAACUCGCUGCCUGGGGAGUACGGUCGCAAGGCUGAAACUUAAAGGAAUUGGCGGGGGAGCACCACAAGAGGUGGAGGCUGCGGUUCAAUUGGAUUCAACGCCGG
rnacentral:rRNA from 1 species